rnacentral:rRNA from 1 species
GAUGAACGCUGGCGGCGUGCCUAAUACAUGCAAGUCGAGCGAACGGACGAGAAGCUUGCUUCUCUGAUGUUAGCGGCGGACGGGUGAGUAACACGUGGAUAACCUACCUAUAAGACUGGGAUAACUUCGGGAAACCGUAGCUAAUACCGGAUAAUAUUUUGAACCGCAUGGUUCAAAAGUGAAAGACGGUCUUGCUGUCACUUAUAGAUGGAUCCGCGCUGCAUUAGCUAGUUGGUAAGGUAACGGCUUACCAAGGCAACGAUGCAUAGCCGACCUGAGAGGGUGAUCGGCCACACUGGAACUGAGACACGGGCCAGACUCCUACGGGAGGCAGCAGUAGGGAAUCUUCCGCAAUGGGCGAAAGCCUGACGGAGCAACGCCGCGUGAGUGAUGAAGGUCUUCGGAUCGUAAAACUCUGUUAUUAGGGAAGAACAAAUGUGUAAGUAACUAUGCACGUCUUGACGGUACCUAAUCAGAAAGCCACGGCUAACUACGU